AAUUGCCCUGUUCUUUUCAUUCCCUCUGGGGCACCUGGCGUUGUCUCCUGUCUUCCGACAGUGGCCAAUGCCAGAGGGAAUGAGCAGAACAAGUAAUCUUCAAGUGAUCCAGUGUGGAAUAUAUGUCAAGCAGCAUCAGGAACCAAACAAAACACACAUCUUGAGGGACUCAGGACACCUGGGUUCCAGUCCUGUCUGACACAGACUCGCUGUGUGACCUGCAGCAAGUCACUUAGGGUAACAUUUUCAAAAGUGACACCGCACUUAGGACCCUAUUUCUCAUUGAAAGUCACUGG